UCCUCAUGCGAAGCUGAUCAGUCAGAGAAGACGUGCCAGGCUGCUCAGUGUAGUGUGUGCAGGUUGACUAUUGAAUAAAGUAGAGAGGUUUGUCUGAACGCUGCCGGGUCAACAGAGGCUGAACACUGAGGAGACAUGGAAGCUGUGAUCGGACUGUUGCUGAUGAUACUCGGAGUCUCUCACGGUGUGGAGACCUACUGUGAUGGCAGACAGGAUGGAGCUCAGUGUUAUGGAGCUUUGGGAGGAACUGUGGUCGUCCAGCUGAUGGACAGCGCCUCGGAAAUACCUAUAUACCGAUGGUU